UUGGCCCUACGGGGGGCAGCAGUGAGGAAUAUUGGUCAAUGGGCGGGAGCCUGAACCAGCCAAGUCGCGUGAGGGAAGACGGUCCUAUGGAUUGUAAACCUCUUUUGUCGGGGAGCAAAGAGACCACGUGUGGUCAAAAGCGAGAGUACCCGAAGAAAAAGCAUCGGCUAACUCCGUGCCAGCAGCCGCGGUAAUACGUAGGUGGCGAGCGUUAUCCGGAAUGAUUGGGCGUAAAGGGUGCGUAGGCGGCCUGCUAAGUCUGGAGUGAAAGGUACCGGCUCAACCGGUACAGGCUCUGGAAACUG
rnacentral:rRNA from 1 species